UGGUGCCGGCCACAACCGCUGGAAACACGUUUCCUUAGCUCGGGCGUUCCGGGCCCUUCUCUGCGCACGGAGGGGGCUGCGUCCACGCCGCCCGGUGAUCUCAUCCGUGUGGAUGGCCGGGCUUCUUGGUGGCCGUUCAGUCUUGCCUCAUUCGUGCCGGCGUUUGCUGGUGGGAGCCCUGCGGAUUGCAUAGCCCAGGCCAGCCAGGGAGGCUGGAAGGGCCUCGUCUGCCCCAGCUCGGCCCUGGCCUUGUCCACUGUGCGGUGGGAACAGCCCAGAUCCCUUACGGAUCACCUCCUCCACCCACACCCUCCGUCAUCUUCCUUAAGGAAGGAAUCUCAGCUCUGCAGAGGGACCCCAUGAGAAGGAUGAAAAACUCUUUGAAGAAAAAAAAUUGAACUACCAGCUGAGUCAGCAAUCCCUCUUCCGGGAAUAUUCCCAAAUAAAAUGAAAUCAGCACCUCGAACAGCAUUAUUCAUGGGACCAACAUCCGGAAAUGGCUCAAGGGCCCACUGAUGAACGAAUGGAUGAAGAAAAUGUAUAUUACUGGUGAAAAGGAGAGGAAUAUUGCCACGUGUGGCAGCCCGGAGUGAACCCGGAGGGCACUGUGACAAGUGAAAUAAACCAGGCGAAAAGGUCAGUGCGAUCCUGCAGCACUCAUGUGUAGCAUCUAAAGAGGAACAGAGUAGAAUGGUGACUGCUGGGGGCUAGGGAGAGGCUGGUCAAAGAGACACUUUCACCUAUAAGAUGAACAAUUUCUGGGGAUCUCAUUACAGCACGGCGUGGUGAUCC